CCUACGGGGAGCAGCAGUGAGGAAUAUUGGUCAAUGGCCGGAAGGCUGAACCAGCCAUGCCGCGUGAAGGUCAGUGCCCUAUGGGCGUUAAACUUCUUUUGUGCGGGAGCAAUAAUGGUCACGUGUGGCCAGACGAGAGUACCGUACGAAUAAGCAUCGGCUAACUCCGUGCCAGCAGCCGCGGUAAUACGGGGGAUGCAAGCGUUAUCAGGAUUUAUUGGGUUUAAAGGGUGCGUAGGCUGGGAGGUAAGUCAGCGGGGAAAUGCCCCCGCUCAACGGGGUGAAGUGCCAUUGAUACUGCCUUGCUGGAAUGCGGAUGCCGUGGGAGGAAUGUGUGGUGUAGCGGUGAAAUGCAUAGAUAUCACACAGAACACCGAUUGCGAAGGCAUCUCACGAAUCCGCGAUUGACGCUGAUGCACGAAAGCGUGGGUAUCAAACAGGAUUAGAUACCCUGGUAGUC
rnacentral:rRNA from 1 species